rnacentral:lncRNA from 1 species
AGCUGCCAAUCCACGCCUUCGGCCUCUCCGACCACCACCACACAACACUCACAAUCAUACACCAGUGGAGGACACACACUGGGAGCAAGGUGGGUUAAGUGUCUUGCCCAAGGACAAGACACUUAUUAGGAUUAGAGGGUUAGGGUUAGUGUUGGAGAGUUAAGGUUUAAGGUAGGGUAGGGUUAGGGGGUCAGAGUUGGAGUUAGGUUUAGGGUUAGAUGGUAAGGGUUUAGAUGAAGGUUAAGGUUUCAGGGUUAGGGUACAGGUUAGGGUUUGUAUUAUAAGGUAAGAACGUAAGGUUUAGGGUCAGGGUUUAAAGUUAGGGUUAGAGUUACAGUAAGGAUUAGGGACUAGAGUUGGAGUUAGAGUUAGGGUUAAAGAGUUUGGGUUAUGAUUAGGGUAAGGGUUUUAGGGUUGAUGUAAGGGUUAGGGUUAGAGUUAGUGGGCUAGAGUUGGAGUUAGAGUUAGGGUUAAAGGGUUUGGGUUAUGAUUAGGGUUAGAAUUAGGGUAAGGGUUUCAGGGUUGAUGUGAGGGUUGAGGUAAGGGUUUCAGGGUUAGUGUGGCGGUUAGGGUUUUAGGGUUUGGGAUAAGGUUAGAGAUUCAGGGUUAGGGUUUCAGGGUUGGUGUCAGGGUUACCGGAAAAAGUAUCUGCUCUUUUAUAGGAACCGAAAAUGAAUGAAAAUUGACUGAUUUUUAUAUGUGAGGCUGUCAAUUUAACAAGUCUUAUAACAGCAUUUACAAUCAACUAAUACAAUUUAUUAUCAUCUGCUGAUACUGAACUCUGUUACUGACGGUUAAAUGAACCUCCUUCCUGUGAAGAAUUUUUGGAUGUUUAAUGAAACAGACUGAAUUUCAUAUCGAUGCCUUUUUAUGACAUUAAAAAGCAAACAAGACCUUCAGCAAUAAGACUUUCGAUUCUCUUGUUGUAUUUUUAAUGCCUGAAACCAAUGUGAGGGGGACUGAAGAAACUGUUUUUACAAUUAACAUGUUAAAUAUUCACAAUAAUUCAUACAUUUUACAUCAAAAGUCAUCAGGAUAGGACAUCACUGAAGCAGCCAAGUCUUCUCACAUAUUCACAACAAUUCCUCUUGUUGCAGCUUUAUUUGCUAAAUGAACUGUUAGGAAACUGCGAGACACUUUGGUGUUAACUUGGUUAAUUUGGCUGGUCAAUUAUUGCAUCCUGUCUGUCUGAUCAUGAAGUCCUAAAAAUACCUCCUGUCUCUGGAUUACAUUAAUCCAGAGUCUCCCUGAGGAUGUGUGUGUCUGUGUGUGUCUGUGUGUGUGUUACUCGUAGUCCCUCCUGGCUGGAUAUCCCCAUUGAAAAGUCUUUCCUACCUCUGAUUCCUUCAGUUUUAUCAGGUGUAACGAGAAUGAGACAAUAAAGCGAGUCAUAGUGGUUGGUGUAGAAAACAUUUAAUGUCACAUUGAAGCACCACAAUAACAAUCAGCACAGAGAGACAUUUGCAACAAAAGGAAUUAAACAGCCCUCAGUUUAAGAGAUAAAUUAGGAGAUCCAUUGACUUCCACACCCAAACUAAUCUAAUUACACCACUCAUUCCCCUUCAUAUCCCAUAAUCAGUGGGCCAGAGUGGCUGAUAAUCCACUGGUUGAUGGUACAUUCAGGAAUGACAGAUGGUCCAUGCAGCCUGUGUACUGCUAGACCUGUGCACUCAGUUCAAAGUCCGUUUUAGCGACCAAGAAGUUGUGUAUCAGCAUCCUGUAUGUGUGUGUUUGUGUGCAUGUAUGUUUGUGCAUGUGUGUGAGCGUGUGUCCUCACCUCCUCCCAGUCAGGGAUUCUCCCUAAAGAGCUUUGAUGCCUUCCUUGCAUCACUCCUCGCUCUAAUCACUGGUACCAGCUGUCAUUGUGUGGGCCUCCCUCCUUCCUCUCUGAGCGUCUGCAGCACCACUUAACCUCACAUCCUCUACAGGCAGCCAUAAUGGACUCACGGUGCUCACGCUGCAACAUUAUGUACACAUAUCAGACACUGACUGCUCAACCUUUUUCGGUGUGUGGUACUUAGGUGAGAAUCACAGCUCAUUCUUGCCUCUCUCUGUUUUCUCAAAGCCUCAAAAAACCCUCUCAAUAGACCUCAAAACUAAAUGUCAGGGUCGAGUCCCGAAUACUUUUUCUCUCUCAGUAUGAACUAUAUUAAUGUCACUAUUUAUUGUUAUUCACGGAUAUUUAGCUACCUGAAUGUUUUUCUCAUUCUAGUUUUGUUUUCCUCGUUUAAGAAUAAAGAAACAUGUCCAACACCAAAAUGAUCAUUCCAACCUAAAUUUAACAUUAUUUAUUAUUGUUUUUUAACAUCUAAUGGAUCAGAACCAAGUUUAAGCAGUUCAGUCUGUAGUCUGCAUGAACCACAAAAAAAAUGAUGUUGAUCCUGCUAACCUGUGAAAAUUUGGAGGGACAGCAGCUCAUAUUUGAGGAUAAAACAGCACAUAAAGUACCCACUUAGCCACUGUCAGAAACAGAUAACAUUAGCAUUGUAGUCAUAAUAGCUGCAUGGCUCAUUAGCAUUGAGUUAUAUUUCUUCAUAUUACCCAGGUUAACAGGAUUGCAGAAAACUAGUAUUACCUUUUAGUAGUUUGGCAUAAGGUUAUAAAUAUAUAGCUUUUAUUAACUUAAGCCAUUCUGUCAGUAAGUCAACAUGAUAGUAGCUACUGCAUGAGAAACUGAGGUGAAUCUGGUGAAGAAUGAAGAGGCUAAAUGAACCUUAUUUUGUUACCGAGCAGUAGAUUUGGUUGCAGCAUAAAUUAAACCGCGACAGAACACAUCUAUAUCAUCUGAUCAGUGUAGAUGAUGGCCAUCUCAGCUGCCUGCUUAAUGUAUAGUCUUAUGAGUUUUGGCCCCUGCAGUUCAAACCUUUGAUGGGAUCUCCUCAGCUGGGUUAUAUCUGACCAUUUUUACCUGAGGGAACAUCUUAGUUCCCUAAAAGACGAAUGAGGCUGGACUAAAACUUCCUUUUUUCCUAAACCUAUAGAUCUGCUCCACUCAGAGUUAGAUUGUAACCUCUGUCUGCUUGGCCACUAACCUAUCAACUAAAACCUUACUCUAAUCCUUCACCUUUGACCUUUUGUAAUAACAAAGCCUGUAUUGGGAUGAACGCAACAUGAAAUAAUCCAUCUGCUGUGAUGGGUCCUGAGAUUUAGGAGCAUGGGGGGUUAAAACUCUCGGCCAGUUUUUGGCAAGUCUAGAACCACCGGAUCCUCUCAACCCACCAGAGUGAGUUCUACCAUUGCCAAACACUGUAGGAGAGAGAGAGAGAGAGUGAGAGAGAGGAGGAACUCAGAGAUCACUGCCUCCAGAUCUGUGACAACCAGGUUUCAGGUUACACAGGACAGCGUGUUGGAGAUGGAGCAUGAGCCUCCAUGGUAACCAGCAUCCAUAUCUCAUCCUCUCCGUAUCUUUCACACAAAUACACAAGAGCCUAUCAAUGAAAAUGAAAAUGGGCUGAGUGUUUUCUUAUCCUAUAUUGGCACUGCACAUGAUUGCUCAAACAAGAAGAACAAAAGCAAAAAUGUGCUAGUGCCAAACUGGGCUAAGAAGAGGGUCAGUUCAGCCUGGUUACUUCCACAGCAGAUGGAGACACAGGCAGUGUGGUUCUGUCUCUACUCUGUUUAUGGCCCUAUGGUAAUUCACUGAUAGUUUGCUGUGACAGUGAAUUCUACCAGUGCCAUACACAGAACAGGAGGAGAUACACGUGCAGUUCCAGACUCACAUUUGUGCCAACAAAGAUACGCAAGUCCACUCUAAACCUCAUCCUGUGUUCAGAAUGAACAAUAUCGAUGUCCACUACAUUUGAUUUCUUUCAUUUUAAAGUUGAAUUUUUGGGCAUGUUUGGCCUCCACCUUUACUUUUACAGGGGCAGGAGGAGCAGGUCUGAUGCUCACAUUGAUUAUGAGUGUGGGGAAUGAUGUGCUAAGUGAUUUUUGAGAUGCUCCAAAUGGGUCCCAAAGCAGGGCUCAUCUUUCUGUUUCCGGGAGAGAUCAAUAGAGUAAAAAGCUUCAGAGAGAGAGAGAGAGAGAGAGAGAGGGAGAGAGAGAGAGAGAGAGAGGGGGGAUUCUCAUGAAGCUUCACUGAUUAGUUGUAUGUUUUUAGUUGCUGUGUCUAGUGAUGAUUAUUAGUGCACACAGGACUUACCAUUACAAUGCAGCUGAAACAUGUGAUACCUCAUUGAUAAUUCAGUUGAACAGAGUAUUUCUCAAGCCACAUGCUUUUUUAAACAUUGCUGCAGUGUGAUAUUAAACAUCACGUAGUCACAAUUUAAUUUGCAGAAUCGAAACUUCACAUAUCUUAAGGUUUUUCUGUCAAAAUCAAACCAUCAUAUUUGAGGAAUAACGAGUUACUUUUUCACUUCUUUCCCCUGACAUGAUCAGCUGCUCUUUGAUUUGCUAAUCAACAACAUGAAAAUUGCUUUCAAUUCUUCUUCAAUUCACUUGUUCUUUUUUUUUGCAGGCUUUUGGAUUCUUACCUUAAGAAACGACCCAAAAUCCUGCGCACAGUAGUUACAAAAAAGACGAGAGGAAACCACUGUGAAAAUCCAAACACGUCCAACAGUAGUGUCUUCAGCACCACAAUCAUGUAAAAAUGUUUUAAAAAAUAAAAAACUUCUUUUCUACCUCCUUUAAAUAAACUGUCCAGAUGACUUUCAUUCUUCUUGAUACCUCCUCGGACCUCUCCGUCCACACUGACCGCUUGCUUUCCAGCUCCACUCGCCUCACGACUCCCUGCUUGUUUGGGCAGCAUGGCAGGGGAUUUUAGUGGACAGGUAAUUAGUUGGUAAGCAUCUUAACCCAUUGGUAGUAUAGUAAUCCACGCUGCCCUCCUCCCUCUCCUUCUGGCGCCUCUGUACGCAGGCCUACGGCACAUCUCCUCUGCCUCUUUUACGCACGGGACGCGCACUGCAGUGGCGACGAUGAAGGACAAUGCUCACUGGCUGAUCGUCACAUAGUGUUGCCCAACUAUUUUUUGUUUAAAAUAGUACAAGCCACACAAUAUACAGAACUAAAGUACAUUUUCACACAACAAAGAUUAAAGUCACACUCCACGCGCUGCAAAACAAAACUGAUGUUUACAGCAAACCUACCAGCACCCCCGGGUGUGGCACCCUGCUGCAGCCCGGCCUGAAGCUCCGCACGGUUUCUGUCCUGCUCCCCGGGUCCAGAACUUUUUCCACACCGAGGCCUCCACUGUUCCUCUUUAUAUGCAGGCACCCUGAGAUCCCUGAAGGGCUCAUUUACCUGCUGUCGGUGAUUAUUAGCCAGAUUGCUGGUGGAAAAGACGCAUCAUCCUUUCAGCUGAUGUGAGGGCGUCAGAGUGGGAGAGGACAGGUUUGGGUUACGGCUCUUUCAAAGUUGACUCUGAAAUCCACCCGCGCAGCCUUUGUCCUCUCCAUACAUUAUGAAGGAGGUGCAGCCGGACAGCAGCGGCUCCCCAGCCUCCACACUGUGCUGCCAAAGCUGCUCGCGUUACUCCAAGGAUGAAUUAAAAACGUGCAACUCUCAGA